UAGGAGCAACAUCUCCUAUGAAAAAAAAAAAAAAAAAAAAAAAAAAAAAAAUGAUACGUUAACAAAAAUGAAAAUUAUUCGGAUAAAAAUCUAAAUUGACCCCCUUCGAAAUUAUUCUAAAGAAGAACAUACACACCAAUGUCAGACAAGGACACUAAGACGUCUGGCUAUGCAAACCUCUAGGAUCGCCCUGUAAACUGAUGCGACGCUCUCCGUUGGAUGGGCAACGGGGAAACGACACUUCAUACAGACUUGCCACAAUUAAAUUUGAACAACUUUAAACUAAACAAUGGCCAUCCUAACGGACAGCGUACAUCUUUUGACGGGCUUCCCUUUCGUUGGCAUUUCCGAACAUUUUUUUCAUGCUUAUGCACACAAAUUUGUCUUAUGGAAAGACUUAAAUAUUAUUAUGCUAUUUGCAAUUAAUUAAUAAAUAUAAUGACA